UCUAAGGGCCCAGGCAGAUUUAGGGCCCAGAACAGCAGACCCCCUUUUUAUUUUCCUAUUUCUUUUCUCUUUUUUAUACAUACAUUAAAUGUGCUAGGGCCCCUCGUGCACUAAAUGUGUAUUUUGUCCGUUUUGACCAUAGAUUUAAUAUUUAAAAAACAAAUAAUGUAUUUACUGUUUCAGUCACACCCCUCCCUCUCACAAUGGUUCAUUCCACCUGCCCUUUCCGAGCUACGAUCGGUGCUAGUGUAGAGUCUCUUGCUUAUUGGACUUACUAUGAUGCAGCGCAGACAGUGACACACGCAAGCAUGUCACAUCAGAAGUCAGGGCAUCAAAAACGGAAAGAAAAGAAGGAAAGAGAAGACAGAGAACGCCAAAGUCGACAGUAUGUCACACAGUUUUUCAUAAAGAAAGAUGCAGAGUCAGCUUUAUUGUCUGCACCUCGUCCUCCUACCCAGUCCUCUCAGUGUCAGGCUUUGUACUCAUCUUUAGACAUUUUAACUAUGCAAUGUGCUAAGUAUCUUUUUUUCAAGUAUACAGGGCAUGUUUAUUGGGUUACAUUUUAUCUGUAAAAAAUGUAGGGGGCCCAGAAAUUUUGGUUUCCAUAGGGCCCAGAAUUUCUGGCGGCACCCCUGAUGACCUGUAAUUUUUUAGUACAAAAGCUGGUUUUCCAUUUUUUCACCAAGAUUUAGUGGCACUGAACCGCGUUUUGGGUUCUAAUAAGUAGCCAAUGCCAUUGCAGCAGAAGAAAGAAUGUGAAGAAAAGGGAAAACAUGUCACACACUCACGUAAAUAGCUAUAUGCAUUACUAAACAAUGUUUUACCUUAUGGAUAAGGGGAGCGCUAUGCAUCCUACAUUUCUGGAAUAAAUCAGAGAUUUUUGUUUUUCAUUAGUUUCCUUAUUAGUUUCCCUUAAUUUUCCCAUAAUUUUUUUUGCUUCCUGGCACUUGUGUGAUUUGACCCAGCCAGAUGACGCAUCUCAAAAAUGGAAGAGAAAGACAGGAGCCUGUAUUGCCACUGGUUCAGAUAGUUAUUAAUGAUAAUGACAAUAAUAAUAACUCACCAUAUGUGUUCAAUUUUUUGA